rnacentral:rRNA from 1 species
GAUGAACGCUGGCGGCGUGCCUAAUACAUGCAAGUCGAGCGAACGGACGAGAAGCUUGCUUCUCUGAUGUUAGCGGCGGACGGGUGAGUAACACGUGGAUAACCUACCUAUAAGACUGGGAUAACUUCGGGAAACCGUAGCUAAUACCGGAUAAUAUUUUGAACCGCAUGGUUCAAAAGUGAAAGGCGGUCUUGCUGUCACUUAUAGAUGGAUCCGCGCUGGAUUAGCUAGUUGGUAAGGUAACGGCUUACCAAGGCAACGAUGCAUAGCCGACCUGAGAGGGUGAUCGGCCACACUGGAACUGAGACACGGUCCAGACUCCUACGGGAGGCAGCAGUAGGGAAUCUUCCGCAAUGGGCGCAAGCCUGACGGAGCCACGCCGCGUGAGUGAUGAAGGUCUUCGGAUCGUAAAACUCUGUUAUUAGGGAAGAACAUAUGUGUACGUAACUGUGCACAUCUUGACGGUACCUAAUCAGAAAGCCCCGGCUAACUACGUG